rnacentral:rRNA from 1 species
GGUUAAGUUAAUAAGGGCGCACGGUGGAUGCCUUGGCACUAGGAGCCGACGAAGGACGUGACAAACGACGAUAUGCCUUGGGUAGCUGUAAGUAAGCGAUGAUCCAGGGAUUUCCGAAUGGGGGAACCCAACAGGUAAUACCUGUUACCCACAUCUGUUAAGGAUGUGAGGAGGAAGACGCAGUGAACUGAAACAUCUAAGUAGCUGCAGGAAGAGAAAGCAAAAGCGAUUGCCUUAGUAGCGGCGAGCGAAACGGCAGAAGGGCAAACCGAAGAGUUUACUCUUCGGGGUUGUAGGACUGCAAUGUGGACUCAAAGAUUAUAGAAGAAUGAUUUGGGAAGAUCAGCCAAAGAGAGUAAUAGCCUCGUAUUUAAAAUAGUCUUUGUACCUAGCAGUAUCCUGAGUACGGCGGGACACGUGAAAUCCCGUCGGAAUCUGGGAGGACCAUCUCCCAACCCUAAAUACUCCCUAGUGACCGAUAGUGAACCAGUACCGUGAGGGAAAGGUGAAAAGCACCCCGGGAGGGGAGUGAAAUAGAACCUGAAACCGUGUGCCUACAACAAGUUCGAGCCCGUUAAUGGGUGAGAGCGUGCCUUUUGUAGAAUGAACCGGCGAGUUACGUUAUGAUGCGAGGUUAAGUUGAAGAGACGGAGCCGUAGGGAAACCGAGUCUGAAUAGGGCGCCUUAGUAUCAUGACGUAGACCCGAAACCAUGUGACCUACCCAUGAGCAGGUUGAAGGUGCGGUAAGACGCACUGGAGGACCGAACCAGGGCACGUUGAAAAGUGCUUGGAUGACUUGUGGGUAGCGGAGAAAUUCCAAACGAACUUGGAGAUAGCUGGUUCUCUCCGAAAUAGCUUUAGGGCUAGCGUCGACAUUAGAGAUUCUUGGAGGUAGAGCACUGUUUGGGUGAGGGGUCCAUCCCGGAUUACCAAUCUCAGAUAAACUCCGAAUGCCAAUGAAUUAUGGUCGGCAGUCAGACUGCGAGUGCUAAGAUCCGUAGUCGAAAGGGAAACAGCCCAGACCACCAGCUAAGGUCCCAAAAUAAUUGUUAAGUGGAAAAGGAUGUGGGGUUGCACAGACAACUAGGAUGUUAGCUUAGAAGCAGCUAUUCAUUCAAAGAGUGCGUAAUAGCUCACUAGUCGAGUGACCCUGCGCCGAAAAUGUACCGGGGCUAAAACAAUUUACCGAAGCUGUGGAUACCUUUAUAGGUAUGGUAGGAGAGCGUUCUAUGUGUGAUGAAGGUAUACCGUGAGGAGUGCUGGAACGCAUAGAAGUGAGAAUGCCGGUAUGAGUAGCGAAAGACAGGUGAGAAUCCUGUCCACCGUAAGACUAAGGUUUCCAGGGGAAGGCUCGUCCGCCCUGGGUUAGUCGGGACCUAAGGAGAGACCGAAAGGUGUAUCCGAUGGACAACAGGUUGAUAUUCCUGUACUAGAGUAUGUAGUGAUGGAGGGACGCAGUAGGCUAACUAAAGCAGACGAUUGGAAGAGUCUGUCUAAGCAGUGAGGUGUGAAUUGAGUCAAAUGCUUAAUUCUAUAACAUUGAGCUGUGAUGGGGAGCGAAGUUUAGUAGCGAAGUUAGUGACGUCACACUGCCAAGAAAAGCUUCUAGCGUUUAAACAUACUCUACCCGUACCGCAAACCGACACAGGUAGUCGAGGCGAGUAGCCUCAGGUGAGCGAGAGAACUCUCGUUAAGGAACUCGGCAAAAUGACCCCGUAACUUCGGGAGAAGGGGUGCUGACUUAAAGUCAGCCGCAGUGAAUAGGCCCAAGCAACUGUUUAUCAAAAACACAGCUCUCUGCUAAAUCGUAAGAUGAUGUAUAGGGGGUGACGCCUGCCCGGUGCUGGAAGGUUAAGAGGAGUGCUUAGCGUAAGCGAAGGUAUGAAUUGAAGCCCCAGUAAACGGCGGCCGUAACUAUAACGGUCCUAAGGUAGCGAAAUUCCUUGUCGGGUAAGUUCCGACCCGCACGAAAGGCGUAAUGAUU